CGGAAGAGCGCCGUAGGUGAGAUCGCCAGCUAGCCGGAGCCGGCAACGUACAGCCUGGCAGGUCGCGCAGCCGCUCCCGGGCCGGGGAAUGGAAGGCAGAUACCCUGAGGCAGUAUCGAGGUCGGGGAAAACUCAUUUUUCAUCCAAAACAAGUCUAUCUUGAUCUGGUGAUACUGCCGGGGCGGCUCCUCCGGACCCUGGCGCCUACGGGUCCAAAUACACCGAAAUCUGUACCGAAAAGAGAAAUCACUCUGAAGAUUACAGAGGCUUGAUAGAACUUGCCAGGUGUGUCCACAACUGCGGCAGGAGGGAGUCCAAACAGAAAACUCAGGGGGGCACUGAAGAGUGGCAAGUGGAAAGAAUCCCCCUUUGUCCAAACCUCUACUGUGGAUGUAGAAUGGAAUCUCCACCCAAGAAGGUGCAGCUGUUCAAUGUCAACCCUCCAGCCCUAGGGCCACAGUUACUGAGCCCGCGCUGCAGCCGCUGAAGCCCGUGGGCCUAGAGCCCGUGCUCCGCAACAAAGAGAAGCCACCGCAAUGAGAAGCCCGCGCCCUGCAACGAAGAGUAGCCCUUGCUCGCCACAAUUAGAGAAAGCCCGCG